rnacentral:rRNA from 1 species
CAAAGGCAUGGUCCUGACCUUAUUAUCAGCUCUUACCCGACUUACACAUGCAAGUCUCCGCAAUCCCGUGAGUAUGCCCUCAAUCCCCUGCCCGGGGACGAGGAGCGGGCAUCAGGCACAAAUUUUAGCCCAAGACGCCUGGCCAAGCCACACCCCCAAGGGAAUUCAGCAGUGAUAAACAUUAAGCCAUAAGUGAAAACUUGACUCAAUCAAGGUAAAGAGGGCCGGUAAAACUCGUGCCAGCCACCGCGGUUAAACGAGAGGCCCUAGUUGAUAAAACCACGGCGUAAAGGGUGGUUAAGGAAAGCAAAACAAAUUAAAGCCAAAUGGCCCUUUGGCCGUCAUACGCUUCUAGGUGUCCGAAGCCCAAUUAUACGAAAGUAGCUUUAUUAAAGCCCACC